AGUGAACGCUGGCGGUAGGCCUAACGCAUGCAAGUCGAACGGCAGCACAGUAAGAGCUUGCUCUUACGGGUGGCGAGUGGCGGACGGGUGAGGAAUACAUCGGAAUCUACUUUUUCGUGGGGGAUAACGUAGGGAAACUUACGCUAAUACCGCAUACGACCUACGGGUGAAAGCAGGGGAUCUUCGGACCUUGCGCGAUUGAAUGAGCCGAUGUCGGAUUAGCUAGUUGGCGGGGUAAAGGCCCACCAAGGCGACGAUCCGUAGCUGGUCUGAGAGGAUGAUCAGCCACACUGGAACUGAGACACGGUCCAGACUCCUACGGGAGGCAGCAGUGGGGAAUAUUGGACAAUGGGCGCAAGCCUGAUCCAGCCAUACCGCGUGGGUGAAGAAGGCCUUCGGGUUGUAAAGCCCUUUUGUUGGGAAAGAAAAGCAGCAGGUUAAUACCCCGCUGUUCUGACGGUACCCAAAGAAUAAGCACCGGCUAACUGCGU
rnacentral:rRNA from 1 species